rnacentral:rRNA from 1 species
CUGGCGGCGUGCCUACACAUGCAAGUCGAACGAGAAGCUAACUUCUGAUUCCUUCGGGAUGAUGAGGUUGGCAGAAAGUGGCGAACGGGUGAGUAACGCGUGGGUAAUCUACCCUGUAAGUGGGGGAUAACCCUCCGAAAGGAGGGCUAAUACCGCAUAAGGUCUUCACUUCUUAAGAAGUAAAGAUUAAAGAUGGCCUCUAUACUAUGCUAUCGCUUCCGGAUGAGCCCGCGUCCUAUUAGUUAGUUGGUGGGGUAAUGGCCUACCAAGACCACAAUGGGUAGCCGGUCUGAGAGGAUGUACGGCCACACUGGGACUGAGAUACGGCCCAGACUCCUACGGGAGGCAGCAGUGGGGAAUAUUGCGCAAUGGGGGAAACCCUGACGCAGCGACGCCGCGUGGAUGAUGAAGGCCUUUGGGUUGUAAAAUCCUGUUCUGGGGGAAGAAAGCUUAAAGGUUCAAUAAACCCUUAAGCCUGACGGUACCCCAAGAGAAAGCUCCGGCUAAUUAUGUGCCAGCAGCCGCGGUAAUACAUAAGGAGCAAGCGUUAUCCGGAAUUAUUGGGCGUAAAGAGCUCGUAGGCGGUCUUAAAAGUCAGGUGUGAAAUUAUCAGGCUCAACCUGAUAAGGUCAUCUGAAACUUUAAGACUUGAGGAUAGAAAGAGGAAAGUGGAAUUCCCGGUGUAGCGGUGAAAUGCGUAGAUAUCGGGGAGGAACACCAGUGGCGAGGGCGGCUUUCUGGUCUAUUUCUGACGCUGA